UUUUGUUUCCCUCUUUGACACAAGUUAAAAUACACGAGAACGAAGAAAGAACAGAUGAUUUUAACGAAAGCCAAAGGAGUUGAAGAAUGGAUAUUUAGAAACCAGUCUUUAGAAACCAGCAAGUAGAUAGUCAGACAUUGCCAUGCACAUCUCUGCAGGCUGAUUUACUGAAAUCUGGAGUUGGACCUGGGGUUAAGUAACUGGGGUUAAGGGCUCAUAAUGUCAUGAAAUGAGGAGGGAAAGAGGAACCUUCUGGGGUGACAGGAGAUGGGUAAAGGUCAGGAAUUUUAAAGUAACUGACAUAAUCUCAGGCCUAAUUUCCUGUUUUCCUGGCAACCAACUCAGAGGACAAUUUGCCAUCAUGCUUAGGUUGAGCAUUGUGGUAUGAGCUUUGGUGAAUCAGAGUUGAACCUUCUGGUUUAAAGAGUGGGAUCAAGAGGAGGUGGUAAUAAGUCAUCAUUUGUCAAGAUGUCUUCAGCACCUGAGCCUCCAACAUUUAAAAAGGAACCACCCAAAGAGAAAGACUUUCAAAACCCAGGGCUCAGAGGGGUGCGCACAACAACCUUAUUUCGAGCUGUGAAUCCAGAGCUCUUCAUUAAACCUAACAAACCUGUAAUGGCUUUCGGAUUGGUAACCCUUUCGCUUUGCAUGGCGCAUGUUGGUUAUCUGCAUGCAACACAAGAGAAUUAAAAGGACCUCUGUGAAGCUAUUGACAGUGAGGGACACAGUUAUAUGAGGAGGAAAACAUCUAAAUGGGAUUAAUAGUGCUGGUGACUGCAAAUGUAGCUUUAUUCAGGACUCUGAAAUCUUCAGAUGAAAGACUUUAUGAACACACAGUAUCAUGUUUCUUGUUCUAGAAUAUGUUAAUGAGGAGAGAAGACAGCAGUUGCACCCAGACAACCGUAGUAAAUUUUUUCCUUUCAUAGCUGCAGCUAUCAUCUCAUUCUUUUUCCACAGAAAAUGUCACAAUAUUUUUCUUUUAUUCAAUCCUUUUAUAAAAAUACCAUGAGAAUAGAAGUUAUUUUUGU